rnacentral:rRNA from 1 species
CCUACGUGAAGCAGCAGUGGGGAAUAUUGGACAAUGGGCGAAAGCCUGAUCCAGCCAUGCCGCGUGUGUGAAGAAGGCCUUCGGGUUGUAAAGCACUUUCAGUGGGGAAGAAAGCCUUGGGGCUAAUACCCUCGAGGAAGGACAUCACCCACAGAAGAAGCACCGGCUAACUCCGUGCCAGCAGCCGCGGUAAUACGGAGGGUGCGAGCGUUAAUCGGAAUUACUGGGCGUAAAGCGCGCGUAGGCGGUCUGAUAAGCCGGUUGUGAAAGCCCCGGGCUCAACCUGGGAACGGCAUCCGGAACUGUCAGGCUAGAGUGCAGGAGAGGAAGGUAGAAUUCCCGGUGUAGCGGUGAAAUGCGUAGAGAUCGGGAGGAAUACCAGUGGCGAAGGCGGCCUUCUGGACUGACACUGACGCUGAGGUGCGAAAGCGUGGGUAGCAAACAGGAUUAAUACCCUGGUAGUC